CCUACGUGAGGCAGCAGUAGGGAAUAUUGCUCAAUGGGGGAAACCCUGAAGCAGCAACGCCGCGUGGAGGCUGAAGGUUUUCGGAUUGUAAACUCCUUUUGUUAGAGAAGAUAAUGACGGUAUCUAACGAAUAAGCACCGGCUAACUCCGUGCCAGCAGCCGCGGUAAUACGGAGGCUGCAAGCGUUACUCGGAAUCACUGGGCGUAAAGAGCGCGUAGGCGGGAUAGCAAGUCAGAUGUGAAAUCCUAUUGCUUAACCCUAGAACUGCAUUUGAAAAUGGUAUUCUAGAGUAUGGGAGAGGUAGGUGGAAUUCUUGGUGUAGGGGUAAAAUGAGUAGAGAUCAAGAGGAAUACUCAUUGCGAAGGCGACCUGCUAGAACAUAACUGACGCUGAUGCGCGAAAGCGUGGGGAGCAAACAGGAUUAGAUACCCUUGUAGUC
rnacentral:rRNA from 1 species